rnacentral:rRNA from 1 species
CCUACGGGGUGCAGCAGUGAGGAAUAUUGGUCAAUGGACGAGAGUCUGAACCAGCCAAGUAGCGUGAAGGAUGACGGCCCUAUGGGUUGUAAACUUCUUUUAUAAAGGAAUAAAACGAGGCACGUGUGCCUUUUUGCAUGUACUUUAUGAAUAAGGAUCGGCUAACUCCGGGCCAGCAGCCGCGGGAAUAAGGAGGAUCCGAGCGUUAUCCGGAUUUAAUGGGUUUAAAGGGAGCGUAGAUGGGUUGUUAAGGCCGUUGUGAAAGUUUGCGGCUCAACCGUAAAAGUGCCAGUGAUACUGGCAGUCUUGAGUACAGUUGAGGUAGGCGGAAUGCGUGGUGUAGCGGUGAAAUGCUUAGAUAUCACGAAGAACCCCGAUUGCGAAGGCAGCUUACUAAACUGUGACUGACAUUGAUGCUCGAAAGUGUGGGUAUCAAACAGGAUUAGAUACCCGGGUAGUC